CUGCAGCCCGAGUGGUGAUCGAUUUUAUUGAGCCUAAAGCGUCCGUAGCCGGUCUAGUAAACUCUUGGGUAAAUUGGGCAGCUUAACUGUCCAAAUUCCGAGGGGACUGCUAGUCUUGGGACCGGGAGAGGUCAGAGGUACUCAAGGGGUAGGGGCUAAAUCCUGUAAUCCUUUGGGGACCACCAGUGGCGAAGGCGUCUGACUAGAACGGAUCCGACGGUAAGGGACGAAACCCUGGGGCGCGAACCGGAUUAGAUACCCGAGUAGUCC
rnacentral:rRNA from 1 species